ACACCUCAACUCUCAUGGUUUGCCAUGAUGAGCUUGGACUUUGGGGGUUUUGCUGGCCUAAGGUCAGCUCUCCUAAAAUGAAUCAGCUUGCCAGUGUUUUGGUGGCAUCGCAGGUGUGAUAACUAUCUACGCUUGUGGAUUCCCACCAUGCAACCUUCAGUGAUGAAGGUUCGCUGGAGCUUAUAAACGUCUCUCUCAGUGGGGACAGCAUUUUGAA
rnacentral:misc_RNA from 1 species